CCUACGGGAGGCAGCAGUGAGGAAUAUUGGUCAAUGGACGAGAGUCUGAACCAGCCAAGUAGCGUGAAGGAUGACUGCCCUAUGGGUUGUAAACUUCUUUUAUAUGGGAAUAAAAUGUUCCACGUGUGGGAUUUUGUAUGUACCAUAUGAAUAAUGAUCGGCUAACUCCGUGCCAGCAGCCGCGGUAAUACGGCGGAUCCGAGCGUUAUCCGGAUUUAUUGGGUUUAAAGGGAGCGUAGGUGGAUUGUUAAGUCAGUUGUGAAAGUUUGCGGCUCAACCGUAAAAUUGCAGUUGAAACUGGCAGUCUUGAGUACAGUAGAGGUGGGCGGAAUUCGUGGUGUAGCGGUGAAAUGCUUAGAUAUCACGAAGAACUCCGAUUGCGAAGGCAGUUCACUGGACUGCAACUGACACUGAGGCUCGAAAGUGUGGGUAUCAAACAGGAUUAGAUACCCGGGUAGUC
rnacentral:rRNA from 1 species